GUCCAAAGGGGACAUUUUGUGGAGCUGAAGCACUGGAAAAUUCAGGCAUUUAAAUAGUGGACAUCAUGGAGUGCUGGGCAAAGAUGCUAGUGGGCAAACUGUCGACAGUCAGCGCUGCUGCUGCUUAGGCGAAACCACGAGGUAAGACGGCUGCAGUGAGGCGAGAUAAUACCACCGCUGAAUCCCUCUGAGCGAGGGCCACAUCGAGCAGGAGAGGAAGAAAGUCAAAGAUGAGGGAGGGACAACGAGCACGCUGAGAAUUGGAUUUGAUCUGCAACCGCUCAAGCCACAACAUCCAAGCAGAGACCAGGACAAGGUGAAGGCAGAGAAAACUCAAGCGGUGGUACAUCAGAGAGAAGAAGAGGGGUGAAGGAAAAAUGUCAAAAUACAACAUCAAACAAGUGCACAGGUCGUCCAGUAGACGCAAAGCUGAGAAAGAUGAUUUCUGCAUCCUGUUCUGUGUCACUUCUCACCAGUAUGGAGACUUAGUCGUGUUGUGUUAUUAUUCACUGUUGCCUUGAAGUGAAGUUUCACAAAAUUAAGUCAUAUGAUUUAAGUUAGCUGCUUUAAAACAGUUGAAAGGGAUGUUAAAAUCCUAUGUGCGUGAUUUGACAUUACUUUAAAAACAUGGAACGGCAGGCGCUUUUAUUUUGAAGUGCAGUCAGCGACAUGCUGCUUUUCCCGGGCUGCGUCACUUCUUGUUGUAGCUUUACUUCCUGUUUCCCUUCAGUUACCAUUUCCUACAUCGCUC